GUGCUUGCUUCGGCGGUACAUAUACUAAAAUUGGAAAGAUACAGAGACGAUUAGCAUGGCCCCGGUGCAAGAAGGACACACAAAUUUGUGAAACGUUCCAUGUUUUU